AGUUAACGCUGGCAGCGUGCAUAACACAUGCAAGUCGAGCGGAACUACUUGAGAUUAUAUCAAGAGUAGUUUAGCGGCAAACGAGUGAGUAACACGUAAGAAAUCUACCCCAAAGUGGAGAACAACCUGCCGAAAGGUGGGCUAAUACUCCAUAUAAUCCUCUGGUGGCAUCACCUAGGGAUGAAAGGCGUAAGUCGCUUUGGGAGGAUCUUGCGGCCUAUCAGCUAGUUGGCGGGGUAACGGCCCACCAAGGCGAUGACGGGUAGCCGGCCUGAAA
rnacentral:rRNA from 1 species